CACAGCAUAGUAUAAUAGUAUUACAGCUCUACAAAGAGAAGAUGAGGGUGCGACUCCCUUUGUUGUGU
rfam:Lactococcus phage SL4, complete genome.